UCGAACUUGAUUUCCAGUGAG
rnacentral:piRNA from 1 species